AAUAAGAUGCCUGAUUUAAAAGGACUAUUUUGAUAGAAUAGAUCAUGUAUUCAUUUACUCUUAUUG
rnacentral:tRNA from 1 species